AGAACGAACGCUGGCGGCAUGCCUAACACAUGCAAGUCGAACGCUUACGAGGGUUUCGGCCCUUGUGGGAGUGGCGCACGGGUGAGUAACGCGUGGGAACCUGCCCCUUUGUGGGGGAUAACCGAGGGAAACUUCGGCUAAUACCGCAUGCGCCCCGGAGUGAUCCGGGGGAAAGAUUUAUCGCAGAGGGAGGGGCCCGCGUCGGAUUAGCUAGUUGGUGGGGUAACGGCCCACCAAGGCACCGAUCGGUAGCUGGUUUGAGAGAACGACCAGCCACACUGGGACUGAGACACGGCCCAGACUCCUACGGGAGGCAGCAGUAGGGAAUCUUGGACAAUGGGGGAAACCCUGAUCCAGCCAUGCCGCGUGAGUGAUGAAGGCCUUCGGGUUGUAAAACUCUUUCGGUCGGGGACGAUAAUGACGGUACCGCAGAAGAAGCUCCGGCUAACUUCGCGCCAGCAGCCGC
rnacentral:rRNA from 1 species